GGUUAAGCGACUAAGCGUACACGGUGGAUGCCCUGGCAGUCAGAGGCGAUGAAGGACGUGCUAAUCUGCGAUAAGCGUCGGUAAGGUGAUAUGAACCGUUAUAACCGGCGAUUUCCGAAUGGGGAAACCCAGUGUGUUUCGACACACUAUCAUUAACUGAAUCCAUAGGUUAAUGAGGCGAACCGGGGGAACUGAAACAUCUAAGUACCCCGAGGAAAAGAAAUCAACCGAGAUUCCCCCAGUAGCGGCGAGCGAACGGGGAGCAGCCCAGAGCCUGAAUCAGUGUGUGUGUUAGUGGAAGCGUCUGGAAAGGCGCGCGAUACAGGGUGACAGCCCCGUACACAAAAAUGCACAUGCUGUGAGCUCGAUGAGUAGGGCGGGACACGUGGUAUCCUGUCUGAAUAUGGGGGGACCAUCCUCCAAGGCUAAAUACUCCUGACUGACCGAUAGUGAACCAGUACCGUGAGGGAAAGGCGAAAAGAACCCCGGCGAGGGGAGUGAAAAAGAACCUGAAACCGUGUACGUACAAGCAGUGGGAGCACGCUUAGG
rnacentral:rRNA from 1 species